rnacentral:rRNA from 1 species
AACGAACGCUGGCGGCAGGCCUAACACAUGCAAGUCGAGCGCCCCGCAAGGGGAGCGGCGGACGGGUGAGUAACACGUGGGAACGUACCCUUUGCUACGGAAUAGUCUCGGGAAACUGGGGGUAAUACCGUAUGUGCCCUUCGGGGGAAAGAUUUAUCGGCAAAGGAUCGGCCCGCGUUGGAUUAGGUAGUUGGUGGGGUAAUGGCCUACCAAGCCGACGAUCCAUAGCUGGUUUGAGAGGAUGAUCAGCCACACUGGGACUGAGACACGGCCCAGACUCCUACGGGGAGGCAGCAGGUGGGGAAUCUUAGACAAGUGGGCGCAAGCCUGAUCUAGCCAUGCCGCGUGAGCGAU